GGCCUCAGGCCCCUUUGCCAGUGAGGGAAGGGUCUGCAGUGGUCACUCCCGGAGGCGGUGUGGCCGCUCUCUGAGAGCGUCCUUGCUGGUUCUAACAGUGGGGGCUCUUCCUGCUCCAGCCGCUGAUGGUGGAUGUGGGGGGCCAGCGGUCGGAGCGGAGGAAGUGGAUCCACUGCUUUGAGAACGUGACAUCCAUCAUGUUUCUCGUCGCCCUCAGCGAAUACGACCAAGUCCUGGUGGAGUCGGACAACGAGAACCGGAUGGAGGAGAGCAAAGCCUUGUUCCGGACCAUCAUCACCUACCCCUGGUUCCAGAACUCCUCCGUCAUCCUCUUCCUCAACAAGAAGGACCUGCUGGAGGACAAGAUCCUGUACUCGCACCUGGUGGACUACUUCCCUGAGUUCGACGGGCCCCAGCGGGACGCCCAGGCGGCGCGGGAGUUCAUCCUGAAGAUGUUUGUGGACCUGAACCCCGACAGCGACAAGAUCAUCUACUCACACUUCACGUGUGCCACCGACACGGAGAACAUCCGCUUCGUGUUCGCGGCUGUGAAGGACACCAUUCUGCAGCUCAACCUCAAGGAGUACAACCUGGUCUGAGCGCCCAGGCCCGGGAGAUGGGGCGGAGACACGGGGCAGGACCUUCCUUCCACGGAGCCUGCGGCUGCCGGGCGGGUGGCGCUGCCAAGUCCGGGCCGGGGCCUCUGCCCGCGGGAGGAGAUUUUUUUUUUCAUAUUU
rnacentral:sRNA from 1 species